rnacentral:lncRNA from 1 species
UAUUCAGAAGACGUGCCCAUCGGUCCACCAACGACCGUUCUAGUAAUUAUGAAGACAACAGCCAACAGCAGCAUGGCACCGUAGAUUACUGAAAGAUCAUUUUGAACAUUUAAUCUACUAAUCCACUUGAAUGCCAUGCAGGGAUCGCUGGAGGAACCAGAUCCAGCAAAACCGAUCGGAAAAUUGCGGUUAGCAUCGACACCGACGCACGUCGAUCCAUUGUUAACAAGACGAUUCUUCCGCCAAUUGCGAUCCUUAUAGAAAUUAAACAGUUUCUUGUGUUACAAAUAGUUGAGUAGGCGAUUUGUGACUCCAGCUUAUACAGUAUUCCAAGUAUAGGCGUAUCCAUCUGGAUUGGCAAUAGGAACAAAUUUCCAAUCGUACUGGUCAACGAGCGAAGUAAUCUCCGGAUCGGAACCAUAUCCAGUUGUUAUCUUUGAUUAUACAGGACCACUAUUACAGUUGAGAAGCCAAACACAAUUUUCACGAGCUUUUCUUUUAUAUACCUGGUCGAUGAUCCACACGCAAGUAGCCGCUGUAAUCCACUCUCUAGCAUGGAUAUUGCAAUCGAAAAAGUGGACCGGUUUGUUUGCUGAAAGAUCACUGCUAAUAAUCGCUUGGACGAUAUCACGACCUUCUUCGCUUGUUCCUCCAACCUUUGUUGAAACUAAUGGGUUGGUGUUAGCCAAUUCGGCUAAAUAGGCCAUCACCUGUUGAGUAAUAGGACGUCAGAGGAAGAUCUGCUAAUGGUUAGAUUAUAACUCACCUCUUCGUACGUGUGAUAAUUCUCGACAUCUAUAGCCUUUUCACCGUUAAAGAUUGCAAUGCGUCAUUGCGUUGUGCCAUGUUGUGUUGUUCUUGUCGUUCAAGUUCUCCGACAUCAGCAAUAUGGACGAUAUGGCUCAUUUUCAUGUCAGCCAAUUUGGCAGCAACAUGAGCGUACCUGAGAGAUGUUGAGAUGUUAAGAUGAUCCAAUUCUAUGAGAAUAAUACGUAACCAUAGUAAAAAAAAAAAAAGAAAAAAAAAGAGAUGCACGGUGCAUUAAACUUACGAUUCGGGACUAACGCGAAUGUCUGCAAAGCGUCCCGCGCUAGACGGUAGCAGCCAAAAAUCGAUUUCACUGCUUGAUUUCCAAUCACGCAAGAACUCCAACUGCUCCUUAGUCUCGGGAAUAACACGAAUCACCUUGUGCCUUUAGAAAACUUCUUUUUUAGUGUCCCAAAUGGAAAUGAUACAUGUAGCACAAAAAAAACUAGACUAAAAUGGGAUUCCUCUUUUUGAGGAAACAAUAAGGCAAAAUUGAUUGCGAAAGAAUCGAUUUUUGUUUUCGUGUCUUUGGCCGCCAACGUUCUACACGUUACUUUAGUAACUAACUAACUACUGGAAAUUCAAGCAUUGCUAAUUUCUUGUUUGAUUUCCACUACACGACCAAAAUAAUUGUUGAAUAUUACCCGGUGUAAUUAAGUUUAGCCGCCGUUGCUAGGGCUAACAAGCCGAAGACAAGGAGGAUGCAAUUCUUCAUUUCUUGGCCGUCUAGUCGGAUCGUUAACAAGCAUACGUAGAUGGGAACUGUAUAUACGAUACAACCAGACUGUUAUGUGUUGUAAUCAGCGGCUGCACGUUUGUUAUCACCAUCUGCAAUCUCAUCAUUUUAUAACGGCAAGUUUGUUUUUAACCGCGACUGUCAAUAAUGACAAGCUGGCUUUUCACAGCAGAAUGUCUUUAAACUGAGUGGUGAAGAUUAGGCGUUACAAAGUCCACGGCAAAUCAAUGUCCACCUUGGAGUCUUGGACAGCACCAACGUCCUCGAUAAACACAUAUUCUAUUUAUCCACUCUUCCUCCUCUGUGUAUUAAAUUAGACUCCCCACCCUCUCAUUCAUAUCGUGACCAAGGGUACGAAUCACGUGAAAGCCCAAAGUUCUUGUAACCUGUUGCCUUAUAUGUUUGUGUCACAUUGGUUUCAUAGUCUAAACGAUAACAAUAACAAAACUCGCUACAUUCGAUUUCAGAGUAUAUUAUUUCCCGAUUAAAUCUUUUAUUGCAUAAGCCUCAAUUUCCAAUGUCGCAUUCGUUCAACUCAACACCGUCCAACAGUUUUGCUCCUUUUGUCAAUUAAAUAGCAUUCAUGAACGCCUUGAUUCCGUUCCAGGUUUCAGUGGCCGUCGAUACAAUUUGUGAUGCCGGCAGUUGAAAUCCGUACCGUCCUUUAUCGCGGAGCUCAAUCGUGUACGAAUGGACAACGCCUUCGUUUUCAUAAUAAUGAUCCGUAGUAGUGCCCGAUGCGAUGU